rnacentral:rRNA from 1 species
CAAGCGGUGGAGCAUGUGGUUUAAUUCGAUGCAACGCCAAAAACCUUACCUACUCUUGACAUCCAUGGAACUUAGCAAAAAUGCUUUGGUGCCUUCGGGAACCCUGAGACAGGUGCUGCAUGGCUGUCGUCAGCUCGUGUUGUGAAAUGUUGGGUUAAGUCCCGCAACGAGCGCAACCCUUAUCCUUUGUUGCCAGCGAUACGGUCGGGUACUCAAAGGAUACUGCCGGUGAUAAACCGGAAGAAGGUGGGGAUGACGUCAAGUCAUCAUGGCCCUUACGAGGGGGCUACACACGUGCUACAAUGGCGUGUACAAAGAGAAGCGACCUCGCAAGAGCAAGCGGACCUCAAAAAGUGCGUCAUAUUCCGGAUCGGAGUCUGCAACUCGUGUCCGUGAAGGAAUAAUCUCUAAUAAUCGUGGAUCAAAAUGCCACGGAGAAUACUCCCCCGGGCCUUGUACACCCC